GCUAUCCAGAAUUGGUAAAAAGUGCUCUGAAAAAUCCUGGAUGCGUCUCAUGACCGUGUCAGAGAAACAAAGGACAAAGCCAUUGACCUGGAGCACAUCACUAAACACGAGCUGAAUUACUGCUUUCUGUUGGACACCGAAUGAUUGUCACUGGGACUACAUCCAGCUACCCGUGAUGGAUCUCCAGGAAGCCUGACACAGGAACUUUUGCAUUAGUCAAAAUGAAGUGCUCUGUUGAAGGCAUUACUUUCAGGAGACUGAAGGGAAAGGAGGAAUUCAAUGUCAUUUCACUUCCUGAAGUACAGUCUGGAGCUCACCUGAAGAACUGCAAGUGUUAGAUGCUCCCACAGAGCAGAGGCAUACACUACUGGAAUAGGC